AUACGUAGGUGGCAAGCGUUGUCCGGAAUUAUUGGGCGUAAAGCGCGCGCAGGCGGCCCUUUAAGUCUGAUGUGAAAGCCCACGGCUCAACCGCGGAGGGUCAUUGGAAACUGGGGGACUUGAGUGCAGAAGAGGAAAGUGGAAUUCCAAGUGUAGCGGUGAAAUGCGUAGAGAUUUGGAGGAACACCAGUGGCGAAGGCGGCUUUCUGGUCUGUAACUGACGCUGAGGCGCGAAGGCGUGGGGAGCAAACAGGAUUAGAUACCCUGGUAGUCCACGCCGUAAACGAUGAGUGCUAAGUGUUAGGGGGUUUCCGCCCCUUAGUGCUGCAGCUAACGCAUUAAGCACUCCGCCUGGGGAGUACGGUCGCAAGACUGAAACUCAAAUGAAUUGGCGGGG
rnacentral:rRNA from 1 species